CCUACGGGCGGCUGCAGUGGGGAAUAUUGCACAAUGGGCGCAAGCCUGAUGCAGCCAUGCCGCGUGUGUGAAGAAGGCCUUCGGGUUGUAAAGCACUUUCAGCGGGGAGGAAGGCGUUAAGGUUAAUAACCUUGGCGAUUGACGUUACCCGCAGAAGAAGCACCGGCUAACUCCGUGCCAGCAGCCGCGGUAAUACGGAGGGUGCAAGCGUUAAUCGGAAUUACUGGGCGUAAAGCGCACGCAGGCGGUCUGUCAAGUCGGAUGUGAAAUCCCCGGGCUCAACCUGGGAACUGCAUUCGAAACUGGCAGGCUAGAGUCUUGUAGAGGGGGGUAGAAUUCCAGGUGUAGCGGUGAAAUGCGUAGAGAUCUGGAGGAAUACCGGUGGCGAAGGCGGCCCCCUGGACAAAGACCGACGCUCAGGUGCGAAAGCGUGGGGAGCAAACAGGAUUAAUACCCUAGUAGUC
rnacentral:rRNA from 1 species